CCUACGGGUGGCAGCAGUGAGGAAUAUUGGUCAAUGGGCGCGAGCCUGAACCAGCCAAGUCGCGUGAGGGAUGAAGGUUCUCUGGAUCGUAAACCUCUUUUAUAAGGGCAUAGAGUGUGGGACGUGUCCUAUUUUGUAUGUACCUUAUGAAUAAGGAACGGAUAACUCCGUGACAGCAGCCGCGGUAAUACGGAGGAUCCGUGCGUUAUCCGGAUUUAUUGGGUUUAAAGGGUGCGUAGGCGGCAUUUUAAGUCAGAGGUGAAAGCCCGUGGCUCAACCAUAGAAUUGCCUUUGAAACUGGGGGUCUUGAGUAUGUGUGAGGCAGGCGGAAUGCGUGGUGUAGCGGUGAAAUGCGUAGAUAUAACGAAGAACACCAGUUGCGAAGGCAGCCUGCCAGGCCGUGACUGACGCUGAUGCACGAAAGCGUGGGGAUCAAACAGGAUUAGAUACCCUUGUAGUC
rnacentral:rRNA from 1 species